GCUGAAGCUGGAGUUCCUGACUGUACAUGAUGGAUGGGAAGUAAGUGGCUCAUCUCCUGGCAGGCACUGAGGAGUGGAGUCCCAUUUUAUUUCUGAAUCACUCUGAAUGGCACACUACAAAGGUUGGAUGUGCUGCUGCCCUUUCCAUCUUAAAUGGACAGAAGCAGAAGUUGCGCGGAAUGAUUGUUUCACUUUGGAUUUGCGCGGGGUGCUGAAGUGGCCCGGAGCCGCGUGCUGCCAGUGUGUGUUAGGAGCAGUGUGGCUGCAGCCCACAGCUCGGGGCUCAGAGUCAUGCCAGAUAAAGAGUCGGGCUGAGUCGAGGAGAGGAACUUUGGCUAAACUGGCAGGGAGAUCACAGCCUGGAAGGAGCCCCACAUUCUGCACAUAUUCCCUAAUAAGUAAUUCAUCUGAAGAGGCCGCAUGAUCAAGGGCCUAGGGGGCUUUCGGCCCGCUGUUUGCAGCCCUGCCUUCUCUCUCUCUCUCUUUCUUUCCUCCACUGCUACACACUAGCUCUGACUGGUCUUCCACUCACAUCUCCAGACUCUUUCUACUCUACGCUGACCCACGCCACAGCCCACUAGAUCACCCUGAUCAUCCUGUGCGCACCAUAUUUCAUCAUAUCACGUGCGUCACUGUCAUUAUGGAGCAUAUUGUGACUGUCAGGACAAAACGUG
rnacentral:lncRNA from 1 species